GUGCUCACUUCGUGAAUUAGGAAAAAUUUUGCAAAAAAACCAAACGCCCAACUGUACUAUCAAAAAUUAAUUGAAACAACAAAUAUCGAUGCGACUACGGACAUGUUGGGCUGCAAGGUCCGGUACUGGAAGCAGAUGUAUAAUAAAGCUGAGGAGUUUCGCAAAUCGACAGGAGCUGGAAUAAACGUUGGCGAUGAAGUUUCCUCAAUAAAAGCAAAACUUUCACAAAACUUUCAAGAUUUAUUUUCGAACUACAAGAAUCAAGUCUAUAUUCAAUAUUGGUAUUUUCAAGUUUUCUAAAACCGCGGACACAGUCAUUUCCAUACACGGCUAAGGAAAAACAACUUAGUAAAUAAUUUGGCUGUAAACUUUCUUUUCAAAUAUUGACAUCUUCGGACCUGAGACUAAAUAUUAAUUGGUUUGCUCCUCUUGAUGCACUUAUCUGUAAGAGAUAAAGUUACCGGGUAGCAUAAUUUACUGGUUCACUUUUUUAUACCCUGGACAUAAGUUUUAGACGAUGUUCAUAACACGCAGAAACUUCGGAUACUAUAUAAAAUAUAUAACGUGUGAUCCAAGUACAGCUAUAUUUUUCAAUAUCCAUUUUUAACCGAUCACGCAUGAGGCGUGUCAAGCUGUCAUGUAAUUUUUUUUCAGUAUUAUUUAACAUUUCAACAUGAAAAGAUUUUCGCUUAAACAACGUUUAUAAGUCGUUUAACUUUAUUCCAAAAAUGCAUGUUUUGUAAAGAAAGUAUUUCGCUCGCUACGCUCAACUAUGGUCAACGUAAUCGACCUACUGAGCAUACCAUUCGCUACUCCAUCACCCAUCUUCAGACCCAGCAUUCAUUAUUGGAUGAUAUUCGACCGAAUAAACCACGUCUAACAGGCAGUGACGAAAAUAUAGCAGCCGUAGCUGAGAGUGUACAUAAGGGUGCUUCAAAAAAAAAUUUGGGAAUUUUUUUUUUCAACUGUUACCCCCUCAAACGUUAGUGAUUGACAAACAAAAAAUGCGCCCUCAAGCUAGGAGCUGUGGCUUAACUCAUAGGGGUCGCUAUUUUUUUUUUUAAGUUCCCAUACAUUUAACAUAACAUUUUCGUUUUUUCAUUCAAACUAAAAUUUCACCAACUAAUUUUAGUUCUCAAAAAUAGCCAACACAUAUUCAGAAAAAACACUUUUCAAACUUCAAACAUUUCUGCGACAAUCUCGAUUAGGCGAUUACAUAUAUUUAUUUGAAAUUUGGACUUUUUUCAAUAAGAAUAAAAUAUUUAUAUAUAAUAUAUCUGAGGAUAAUAAUAAUGUCGCGUGAAUUUUUCGUUUGAAAAGCCAGCUGGUUUCAACAAGAAAUAGUUCCCACACAUUGCAUUGUCAAUUUAUUUAUAGAGAGAACCCCUCCGUGAACAGAUAAUUUCACGUUUUGGGCUCGUCGAUUAGCCACAAAGAUCAUGUGAUAUCAUACCUUUCCACUUUUUCUUGUGCGGAUAUGUAAUGUAUAAAGUCUAUGCGAAAAAUUCUGCUUCAAUUCAGGCCAAGAGAUAAUC